rnacentral:rRNA from 1 species
UACGUAGGGUGCAAGCGUUGUCCGGAAUUAUUGGGCGUAAAGAGCUCGUAGGCGGCUUGUCGCGUCGGCUGUGAAAACCUGGGGCUCAACCCCGGGCCUGCAGCCGAUACGGGCAAGCUAGAAUUCGGUAGGGGAGACUGGAAUUCCUGGUGUAGCGGUGAAAUGCGCAGAUAUCAGGAGGAACACCGGUGGCGAAGGCGGAUCUCUGGGCCUUACCUGACGCUGAGGCGCGAAAGCUAGGGGAGCAAACAGG